CGCCGGCGCAACAUGGUGAGUCCAUGGGGAGGACCUGCUCCCUAUGUAGAUAUGAACGGCUCAUUCUAAGACAGUAACAGCAGAAGCAUGCGUCCAUUUCAAAUCACCUGAGAGGCAGAGGAGGAUCGGCUCCAGAGACACAUCUCAGCGCCGCCACUACUAACCAUAUGGAAACAGGAGCCGGCUGCAUUUGUCAUGGCCUGGAGGAGGGGAAGCCAUCACUAGACAGUCUAAUGUGUUCACAUCUAACAGACUGCAGAGAUUGAGUCUGUGCCAAGCUUCCAAUACAAAUACAGCAGAAUAAAGUGUCAAUCGCUCAACACCAUAUGUCUGAUAUUUGCAACAGAUAGGGUAUUCUGCACCAAAGUCUGGAACAAAGCCUCUGCAGUCUACAGAUUCUAGGCCUGCCGGACACAAUUUAUUUGGGAGAAAACAAGACAAUAUGGGAUCAUGAACCUGCCAGCAUGAAACAUCUCAAGUCCAAUUAAAUUCAACCUUUCACCUCCCCCAGUGAAUCAUUUAAAUGUGAAACUGUUUUUUUUUCUCUCUUUCUUGAUUCCAUCCAUGCAAGUGUAGCUAAAAAGAAAAUUAUGCGUUGGCAAAAAAGGGUCACUCCUUCUUCCGUGUCAUGAUGAACACCAAGCAAAAGUCAACC